CAAAAGGCCCUUUUUAGGGCCCCCACAAUUUCAAAAAAAGAGCUGU
rfam:Loxodonta africana unplaced genomic scaffold scaffold_2, whole genome shotgun sequence.